rnacentral:rRNA from 1 species
CAUAUCAAUAAGCGGAGGAAAAGAAACUAACAAGGAUUCCCCUAGUAACUGCGAGUGAAGCGGGAAAAGCUCAAAUUUAAAAUCUGUCAGCUUUGGCUGUCCGAGUUGUAAUCUAGAGAAGCGUUAUCCGCGCUGGACCGUGUACAAGUCUCCUGGAAUGGAGCGUCAUAGAGGGUGAGAAUCCCGUCUUUGACACGGACUGCCAGGGCUUUGUGAUGCGCUCUCAAAGAGUCGAGUUGUUUGGGAAUGCAGCUCAAAAUGGGUGGUAAAUUCCAUCUAAAGCUAAAUAUUGGCGAGAGACCGAUAGCGAACAAGUACCGUGAGGGAAAGAUGAAAAGAACUUUGGAAAGAGAGUUAAACAGUACGUGAAAUUGCUGAAAGGGAAACGCUUGAAGUCAGUCGCGUUGUCCAGGGAUCAACCUUGCUUUUGCUUGGUGUACUUUCUGGUUGACGGGUCAGCAUCAAUUUUGACUAUUGGAAAAAGGUCAGGGGAAUGUGGCAUCUUCGGAUGUGUUAUAGCCCUUGGUUGCAUACAAUGGUUGGGAUUGAGGAACUCAGCACGCCGCAAGGCCGGGUUUUUAACCACGUACGUGCUUAGGAUGCUGGCAUAAUGGCUUUAAUCGACCCGUCUUGAAACACGGACCAAGGAGUCUAACAUGCCUGCGAGUGUUUGGGUGGAAAACCCGAGCGCGUAAUGAAAGUGAAAGUUGAGAUCCCUGUCGUGGGGAGCAUCGACGCCCGGACCAGACCUUUUGUGACGGUUCCGCGGUAGAGCAUGUAUGUUGGGACCCGAAAGAUGGUGAACUAUGCCUGAAUAGGGUGAAGCCAGAGGAAACUCUGGUGGAGGCUCGUAGCGAUUCUGACGUGCAAAUCGAUCGUCAAAUUUGGGUAUAGGGGCGAAAGACUAAUCGAACCAUCUAGUAGCUGGUUCCUGCC